AAAUUAUGUUAUGUUAUAAAUUAAGUGACCUGUCACUGUAUAAUUAACUGCUUUUGUUUUGCUUUGGUAAGGCCGCUUAUAAAAAUGCCGCUCUAUUUUUAUUCAAUGCACAGCUUUUUGGAUAUAAAUCCUCUGAGCCGGUGCAUACCUAAAAAUAAACAAAUCCUCCUGUACUCCUUAUUGGUCUCUCCGUUCCUCAGUUUACCACAAUGUUUAUGGCAAUCACGAAGGGACUGAAGACUGCAGGCUUACUGUCUCCUUUGGGUCUGGGGGUUGGAGCCUGGGCCUUGGGAAACCUGUGACCCCAGGCGCUGCUAGGAGAACUUCAGCCCAGAGGGGAGAUCAGCUCUACCGUGACCUGGCGCCCCCUACCUAGCCGUGCAACAGAACCUAAAAGGAGCUACAGGACGAUUUCAGAAACGGGACGCUUCAGGAAACGUGAUGGGCCCAUCAGAAUUGUCCCUUCUGUCGCCCCUAACGAGGCCCCCUGGGUGUUGUCUGCAGCGUUGUUCCUUCCCUGCUUCACCAGCUACUGAUUGCUGCCUGACGGCCGAGGGAGAAUACUUUGCUGAGACCCUAGUUUCUUUGGGAUUUUAUUCAUCUGUCCUGAGGAGGGUUUUGACAUUCCGGUUUUGUGGUCAUCAGUGAUACAUCCAGAAGAAAUCUUACAUAUUCGGAUUUCAUUUGGAGAGAAGCCUCUCAAAAACUAUCGCUUUAUUUCAUUUAGGUAAUCUCUGAAGGUUGUGAGCAAGUGCUCACGGGUAGAAAGCUCAUGCAGUGUCUCCCACACCCAGAGGAUUCGAAAAUGACCCUGGAGGUGUAAAAGCUGUCUCUGGAGAUUAAACGACUGGAACACGUGUGAGACUUGAAGACGAACAAUGCCAGUUAGAAACCAGUUAGGAAGGAUUUUCCUUCCCUUUCCCCACAAAACAGAGAAGCAGUUAUAUUUCUCUCUUUAGCAAUUCUGUGUUUCUCAAGUACUAUUAUUUACUGGGGAAAAAUAUCUGUGUUUAGGAGAAUUCACUAAUAUUCUUAGUGGCACCGAUCACAUGAAACAAUUCAUAAUUUUUGUCUUAGUUCAGUUUAAGUUCCUGCUUUCCUGGAUUUGGUGGACUGGCUGAAUAAAUAAUUACCUAUCAAAAAUCAAAUUAUCUUUGUUUUUACUUUGAUUUCUGAGUAAUGAAAAAUUAGGGCUCUCUGUAAGUCAUUUUCUGAUGUUUCUCAGAUUAACUUACUUUUCUACUUUAUUGUAUAUGUUGUCCUCAAAAAACACAUACUUGCAUCCUUUAUCUGAAAUAUCUUUACCCUACAUUUUCAUUUCCUACUCUUCCUGACCUGUAUCAGAUCAAAUAUGCCAUCUUCUUCUGAGUCUCCUCCAUUCUGAUUACUAGUAUUUCUCUAGAGUAACUUCUUGUUUCCACUUUAUACUUAAGGGAUAUUUGGUUUUGUUUGAUAUCCCUUUCACCCAAUAAUAACAAGCUUGAAAGUUAUUCAAGCCAUUCAAGAUGGCUUGGCCAUCUGCAAGCCAAGGAGAGAGGCUCGGAAGAAAACAAGCAUGCUCAUACCUUGAUCCCAGACUCCCUGCCCCAGAACUGUGAGAAUAAGAAAAACCAAAACUCUGUUGUUUAAUCCCCCUAGUCUUUGAUAUUUUGUCAUGGCAGCCCUAGAACACUGAUAUGGACACCAGUAAGAGAGUGAAAGGCAAGCUACAAUCUGGAAAGCACUAUUUGCAAAGCUCAUGUCAAACUAAGGGCUUGUGCCCCCCAAAUAUAAAGAACUUUUACAAAUAAAUUUAAAAAGAUAAUCAACCCACCAAGAGAAUGGAAAAAGACCUGAAGAACCUUCACAAAAAAUGAUAUCCAAUUGGUUUAUAGACAUAAGAAAACUUGGUUAACUUCAUUAGUCAUUAGGUAAAUUAAAAUCAAACACAAAGUACAAUUUCAGAAUUCAUACUCAGAAGAAUAGCUAAAAUGAUAAAAUAUCAAGUAUUAGUAAAAAUGUAUUCCAACCGUAACUCUGAAAACCUGCUGGUGAAAGUAUAAAUUGGUCCAACUGCCUUACAAAAUUCUUUGGCAACUAAGCUGAACAUAUGUCUACUCUAUGAUCCAGCAAUUCUACCCCUAGAGAUUACCUCUCAAAAAUGCAUCCGUAUCUAUUCACCUAUGGACAUGUGCUAGAAUGUUUAUAGCAGCCCUAUUUACAAUAACCCCAAACUUGAAAUGAUCAAAAUGCUCAUGAGUAGUAGAGGAUAAAUUAAUGGUGAUACAUCAUAUGACGAAAUAUACCGCAACAAUGAAAUGAAUGAUUAUACAGAUGAAUUUCAAAACAGAAAGUGUUUAGUGAAAGAUGCCAGAUACAAAAGAUGUACAUACUGUUUUGUUUCAUGUAUGUAAUGUAUAAAAACAGGCAAAAGUAAUUCAUAGUGUUUAAGUCAAAAUAGCAAUUUCCCCCGGGAUGGGGGUAUGAGGAAGGCUUUGGAAGUCCUGGUAAUGUUUUGUUUCUUCAUCUGGGUGAUGUUACAUGGGUAUGUUCAGUGUGUGAAAAGUCAACUAGCUCUGCAUUUGAGACGAUGUGCUUUUUUGCAUGUAAAAUAUUCUUCAAUAAAAAUUAAAUUAAAAAUUGUAAAGAAGGUGAGUCUUCUUUUUUUUCUUUUUUUUUGAGACAGA
rnacentral:lncRNA from 1 species